rnacentral:rRNA from 1 species
GACGAACGCUGGCGGCGUGCUUAACACAUGCAAGUCGAACGGUAAGGCCCUUCGGGGUACACGAGUGGCGAACGGGUGAGUAACACGUGGGUGAUCUGCCCUGCACUUCGGGAUAAGCCUGGGAAACUGGGUCUAAUACCGGAUAGGACCACUGCCUGCAUGGGUGGUGGUGGAAAGCUUUUGCGGUGUGGGAUGGGCCCGCGGCCUAUCAGCUUGUUGGUGGGGUGAUGGCCUACCAAGGCGACGACGGGUAGCCGGCCUGAGAGGGUGAACGGCCACACUGGGACUGAGGUACGGCCCAGACUCCUACGGGAGGCAGCAGUGGGGAAUAUUGCACAAUGGGCGCAAGCCUGAUGCAGCGACGCCGCGUGAGGGAUGACGGCCUUCGGGUUGUAAACCUCUUUCAGCACCGACGAAGCGCAAGUGACGGUAGGUGCUGAAGAAGGACCGGCCAACUACGUGCCAGCAGCCGCAGUAA